rnacentral:rRNA from 1 species
UGGGGAUAUUGCACAAUGGGCGAAAGCCUGAUGCAGCGACGCCGCGUGGGGGAUGAAGGCCUUCGGGUUGUAAACUUCUUUUGCUCUGAACAAGGCGCACCAUGGGGUGUGUUGAGUGUAGGGGUUGAUUAGCGCCGGCUAACUACGUGCCAGCAGCCGCGGUAAUACGUAGGGCGCGAGCGUUGUCCGGAAUUAUUGGGCGUAAAGGGCUUGUAGGUGGCUGGUUGCGUCUGUCGUGAAAGCUCAUGGCUUAACUGUGGGUUUGCGGUGGGUACGGGCUGGCUUGAGUGCAGUAGGGGAGGCUGGAAUUCCUGGUGUAGCGGUGGAAUGCGCAGAUAUCAGGAGGAAUACCGGUGGCGAAGGCGGGUCUCUGGGCUGUUACUGACACUGAGGAGCGAAAGCAUGGGGAGCGAACAGG